UAUAAUUUAAAGUAGGGCCUGCCCACUGAAAAUUUGAAGGGCCGCAGUAUUUUGACUGUGCAAAGGUAGCAUAAUCAUUAGUUUUUUAAUUGAAAGCUGGAAUGAAUGGUUUAAUGAAAAAAUAACUUUUUUUAAUUUAAUAAUUUAGAAUUUUAUUUUUAAGUUAAAAAGCUUAAAUUUAUUUAUAAGACGAGAAGACCCUAUAGAGUUUUAUUUUAGUUUUAUUAAAAAUUUUUAGAAUUUAAUAAUUUUAAUAAAAUUAAAAUUUGGUUGGGGUGAUUAAAAAAUUAAAUAAACUUUUUUUUAUAAAUACAUUUAUUUAUG
rnacentral:rRNA from 1 species